ACCGACAGACCGACCGCCUCAGGGACGCGCCGGCCGUUGGGCCCGGCGGUCGGUAGGCGCAAGAGGGAAGGCCCGGGACGUGCGUGUGUGUGUCCGUGUGUCCUCUCACGUACCCGCGGGCCGAUUCCAGCGUGGCGCGGCAAGGACCCGCGGCCCCGGCGGGAGGGUGGACCCGCCGUGGAGUCCGGGUGGGAUCCUGCCCCCGAGGGCUUCAGUGCGGCUUUGAACCUGGCCCGGGAGGGUUUCCGAGGGCACCUGAGCGAAAGUAGAAGUCACUCCAACAGGCGUUCCCUUUAUUCAAUCAGCUAAAGUGGGAAUCGCCAGUAGAGAAGUCACUCACAAGGUGGCAGCUAGCCUUGCUUGUCUUUCCGAGACCUGCCACCUCGUGACAUGCAGAACCCUGAGGUGAGACCCAGUGACCCCUACGAGGGGGAGGAGCGAUGUACGGAAGAAAUGAGAUGUGUGGAAGCCAGCAGUGUGGAGUGGAGAGUAAGCUAGUCAACAGCAGGGGCCAAGGAGCAGGGACGGGUCUAAGCUGGAAACGUACCUCUAGACUGGAGGGAAAUGCCUUUUCAUCCAAAAUUCACAGAUGUCUUUUAGGGGUUUUGCAUUAGUCAGGUAAGUCAACCCCUUCUCAUGAGACAAAAUAAAACCCAAGUCCUUAUAGUAGGGCUAAUUAGCAGGUUUUGAAGAUCAACAGUUACGGAAACAUUUUUCAAUAAGAAGCAGUUUCUGUGAACAGCUAAGUAGGAGGACAUACGGACACACUCCUGCUUCCACGUGGCUCCUGCCAUCACAUGUGUAUGGAAAGAGGAAAAGACAAGCCUAUUUCUUACAAUACCUGAAUUGCACGCACAUGCAAGCUUUCUAGUUUGGGUUGUUUUGCUGUCAAAACGGUUCAACUUAUCCUGACAUUUGUACAGUUGUGACAAUGAGACUGAAGAAACUUUAAAGUUAGUCUUGAGUUGAAAUUAAACCUGUGCUUGAGUUUUAAUGGCCCGUAUAUUUUUCCUUGCUUUGAAUUUUCAUCUUCCUAUGUGUUUCCCAUGCUUUAGAGCAUGCUUUGCAACUUAUAUUUUCAAUAUGGCUGCAUAGUUGGAGUACUGCCUUGGUAUCGCACAGGAAGUCAAACUAACACCAUUUUUUGAAUAAUGGGAAUCAAAUCACCUGAGAAUGCACUAGAUACUGGCACAGGUAUAUUUUCCUCAUAAAUGAGUGUUAAUUUUCAAAAUGUUACAUCCUGAAGCUUUUUUAAAAGCCUUAAAACGUGUGUAUAAGAAAUGUGCGGGUGUGGUCACUGAAUGCAUAGAACUUCCAGCUUCUCCAAGCUGGAAGAGCUUUGGUAAGAGACACUAGGAGAACUGCCCUGCAGCAUAGAAGCUAGGGCAAGUUUCCUGGGGACUGUGACUUGAGGUCAAAUUGCUGCUCCAAAUCAGAGGACGAAGAGUUUGAACCGGGUCCCUCGCGUGCUAGCUGAGUGUCUUGCUCAUGGAGCUAUUCAAUAUCAGGGAAUCUGACCUCUCCCUGGAGUGCAUAGGCCUUAUCAGCUGUGCUCACUUUUGAGUCCUUCCCCCCACAGCUUGCAUCGCUGACUCGCAUGUUGGCAGCAGAGGGAGGCUCAGGCAGGGGGCUAUCUCCAGACAGAGGCCAUGAGGACACUCAGGGACGGAGCACAGGCCUGAAGAAGGUCAAGCACUGAAGCUGUUGCAGAAGGCUAAGCCAGCAUUUCUGUAACAGCUUGUUGCAACAAAUGAGUUUGGCACUCACCUCCAGGCUCAAUCUUCCUAAGCACCGCAUGGAUCCUGUGUGCUUGAGCUGCAUUCAGGCUAGAGCUAAGCUGAAGCGACAGGGCUUUAGCUUAGGAAAAUGUGCUGGUCAUGGAGCUUGGUAUGCUUACUUCGGAUCAAGAACUCCUCUGUGGCAGGCAAUUAAUUGAACAUUUAAGCUGCUUUCAGUCCCUUUUGUACUAACAGAAAAAGGCAAAACGUCCUUAGUAUGGACCUGGUUCUGAUUACACGAACUCCUAGACACUCUUUCAGAGUACUAGGCACGCUUGGCACCUACCAAAGGCUCAGUUUUGCAGGAUUCAGGACCCGCUCAGCACUGCAAACCUGCAAUGUAUGAAAAGCUAUGACCACACGUUCUGAUCAUAGCUGAUUUCAGAUCAGCUCACCCCCAAUUGUUUUCCAAAGUACUGAUUGCCCAAGGGUACCCUUUCCUGAAAUCUGUUGGCAGUGGCCCUCAUGCGAGCACUGAGUUACAACGAGGGAUGAUAUGAGUGCUCCUUGUCUGUUAUGUCUGUGGUAGCUGGCUGAGUUACAAUCACCAUGGAAGUUAUCAUCAGUCACUGAAAAUGAGAACACCCUCACUGAACUAUUUACAGAGCAAAAACCCCAAGGUUCCCCAAGUGCCACAAAGAGAUGCCUUUUCCUCAGUACAGUUUCAUACCGCGAUGAAAUCCUGUGCGGAAGUACUAGGUUUACCAGUACACAAUGGAAACAGUGAAUCCAGCGUAUUCCUUUUAAAAGAGUGAAUUGCUUUCUUGUGGCAAAAAGCAAUUCUUUCAACUCUUACUGAAUGAUUAUUCCAAAUUACAUGGCUAGCCAAUGAAUGAUACAGUGCAGAGCUGUUGUUAGCUCUUCCACAUACUGUUUACUUUUUGAGGAACUACUUGUUUUCCAAAGGAAAGUAUAUCAUUCCAGAAAGCAAGUCGUAGUUUAUAAAGAGUGCCACAGACAGCAUAGAAAGUUCUGCUGAACUAUCACAUGGCGAAUCAUGCAAAUCCCCGUGUAGAGCUGAAUGAACACCUCUCACUGAUUUCUGUUUUGCACUUGCUUCUGCUUUUGUGAAAUGAGAACAAAUUUUCCCUCAGGGAACACAUUUGCAGACAGGGGUAACAGCAAACUAAAGAAAUACAGUGUGUGUAACCUUUGAGAUACUGUAAUAAAAGAAAAAUGACAUGGUUUGGAAAAAGUGAAAUGCUGAAAUGUGAUUAUACACUUUUCAACAUAAUAAACCAUCAACAUCUUUCA